GUACUUACCUGGAAAGGGAGAAACCAUGAUCAUGAAAGUGGUUCUCCUAGGGUGAGGAUAUCCCAUUGUACUUUGGUUGUGCUGACAGCUGCAAUGUCCCUAAACAUGGGAUACAGUACUCACAUCCAAAAUUUGUGGUACUGGAGAACUGUGCUCGUGGCCUCUGA